GAUGCCAUCCCUACAUUGCUUGAUUGCAUCAACCCGCCACCUCUUGCCUCUCCUCCUCUAUAAAGGCAGAAAUGAAGUAAAGCUGAGAGAAGGCACUCUGAGGAGCACGAAGAAGAGAGGGACAUUGUAGAGA